rnacentral:lncRNA from 1 species
GACCCGGAACCUGCCUCUCCGCCUGCCCUGCCGGAAGCUGGGUCCGCGGCCGGUGGUAGCUGGUCCACUGCAGGACGAUGAGGUGCUGGAGGUCCCCUCGCCCCCCCUGGACAUCGGGGGUCCCCGGCGUACACAGUCCGAGCCAUCCUGGACUCCCGACGUCGGGUCGGGGGCCUGCAGUACCUCGUGGACUGGGAGGGGUACGGUCCGGAGGAGAGGUGCUGGGUUCCGGCGGCGGACAUUCUAGAUCCACCUAUGCUACAAGAAUUCCACCGUCGCCGUCCGGAUCGGCCGGCGCCUCGCCCUCCGGGCCGUCCCCGAGGCCGGCGUCGGCGCGCGAGGGGAG